rnacentral:rRNA from 1 species
CCCGUCUGGGCGCAGCUGAUGCAGCCAUGCCGCGUGUAUGAAGAAGGCCUUCGGGUUGUAAAGUACUUUCAGCGGGGAGGAAGGGAGUAAAGUUAAUACCUUUGCUCAUUGACGUUACCCGCAGAAGAAGCACCGGCUAACUCCGUGCCAGCAGCCGCGGUAAUGG